rnacentral:rRNA from 1 species
UACGGAGGGUGCAAGCGUUAUCCGGAUUCACUGGGUUUAAAGGGUGCGUAGGCGGCUUAUUAAGUCAGUGGUGAAAGCCCCAAGCUUAACUUGGGAACUGCCAUUGAUACUGAUGAGCUUGAGUAGAUUUGAGGCGGGCGGAAUGUGUCGUGUAGCGGUGAAAUGCUUAGAUAUGACACAGAACACCAAUUGCGUAGGCAGCUCGCUAAACUCUUACUGACGCUGAGGCACGAAAGCAUGGGGAUCAAACAGG